rnacentral:rRNA from 2 species
AGGUUGAUCUCGGAUCAGGUAGGAAGACCCGCUGAUCUUACAACAGGGAUUGCCCUAGUAACGGCGAGUGAAGCGGCAACAGCUCAAAUUUGAAAUCUGGCCUCGGCCCGAGUUGUAAUUUGUAGAGGAAGCUUUAGGCGCGGCACCUUCUGAGUCCCCUGGAACGGGGCGCUACAGAGGGUGAGAGCCCCGUAUAGUUGGAUGCCUAGCCUGUGUAAAGCUCCUUCGACGAGUCGAGUAGUUUGGGAAUGCUGCUCAAAAUGGGAGGUAAAUUUCUUCUAAAGCUAAAUACCGGCCAGAGACCGAUAGCGCACAAGUAGAGUGAUCGAAAGAUGAAAAGCACUUUGAAAAGAGGGUUAAAUAGCACGUGAAAUUGUUGAAAGGGAAGCGCUUGUGACCAGACUUGCGCCGGGCGGAUCAUCCGGUGUUCUCACCGGUGCACUCCGCCCGGCUCAGGCCAGCAUCGGUUCUCGCGGGGGGAUAAAGGCCCCGGGAACGUAGCUCCUCCGGGAGUGUUAUAGCCCGGGGCGUAAUGUCCUCGCGGGGACCGAGGACCGCGCAUCUGCAAGGAUGCUGGCGUAAUGGUCACCAGCGA